GAUCAUGGCUCAGGAUGAACGCUGGCGGCGUGCCUAACACAUGCAAGUCGAGCGGAGCUUUGGUUGAAACAGUCUUCGGACUGCGGAUACCUUAGUUUAGCGGCGGACGGGUGAGUAACGCGUGGGUAAUCUGCCCCUGACAAUGGAAUAACUGUGAGAAAUCACAACUAAUACCAUAUAAGCCCCCGGCGCUACAUGGCGCAGAGGGAAAAGAUUUAUCGGUGAGGGAUGAGCCCGCGUCUGAUUAGCUAGUUGGUGGGGUAAGAGCCUACCAAGGCAACGAUCAGUAGCCGGCCUGAGAGGGUGAACGGCCACAUUGGGACUGAGACACGGCCCAAACUCCUACGGGAGGCAGCAGUGGGGAAUAUUGCACAAUGGGGGAAACCCUGAUGCAGCAACGCCGCGUGAAGGAAGAAGGUCUUCGGAUCGUAAACUUCUUUAGGCAGGGAAGAAAACAAUGACGGUACCUGCAGAAUAAGCACCGGCUAACUACGUGCCAGCAGCCGCGGUAAUACGUAGGGUGCAAGCGUUAUCCGGAAUUACUGGGUGUAAAGGGUGAGUAGGCGGUUUUAUAAGCCAUAUGUGAAAUGCGGGG
rnacentral:rRNA from 1 species